rnacentral:lncRNA from 1 species
GUCAAUUAGGCAAAUAGGCAAAUCCCUUAUUUGAAUUACAUAAUGGGAAAAUUACCAAGUUCGGAACGUCCAACAUACAAAUAUAUUACAAAAAGGCAUACAGUCAACUGGGUAAUAACUCCCGCCCAAUACUAUCCCGCCAAUCCCUCCCGCCAAUUACUCCCCCUAAUCCCUCCUGCCAAUAACUCUCUGAGUUACUCCAGGUCAUUAAAGCCUGCCUAUAUUAAUCAACCUAGCUGUUUGAAAUAAAAACUUCUAUCACAUUAACUCCUGC